rnacentral:rRNA from 1 species
ACGAACGCUGGCGGCGUGCUUAACACAUGCAAGUCGAGCGGUAAGGCCCUUUCGGGGGUACACGAGCGGCGAACGGGUGAGUAACACGUGGGUGACCUGCCCUCAGCUCUGGGAUAAGCCUGGGAAACCGGGUCUAAUACCGGAUAUGACUCCAUGACGCAUGUUGUGGGGUGGAAAGCCUUGUGCGGCUGAGGAUGGGCCCGCGGCCUAUCAGCUUGUUGGUGGGGUGAUGGCCUACCAAGGCGACGACGGGUAGCCGGCCUGAGAGGGCGACCGGGCCACACUGGGACUGAGACACGGGCCCAGACUCCUACGGGAGGCAGCAGUGGGGAAUCUUGCGCAAUGGGCGAAAGCCCUGACGCAGCGACGCCGCGUGAGGGAU